UUUUGACCUCGGAUCAGGUAGGGAUACCCGCUGAACUUAAGCAUAU
rnacentral:rRNA from 10 species